AUUAAAAUGAAAAAUUUAAGAUUAAUGGGUGGGUAUGAGAGUGGGAGGAGGCUACUCCUUUGACAACUUCAGAAAAUCUAGUCCAGGAGAAUCUGGAGUAAUUCAGCUUAUUCUUUUUAUUUUCCAUCUUCUUAGAAGCCUAUAAGAAAGCCUCAUGUAAAUAUUAUUAAACUUUCAUGACUUGCUAGUUGCUAAUAGAUGCAAACCUUAGAACUAAACAUUUAUUGUUAACUAAACAUCAUAUUUAAUGAUUCAAAUUGAAUUUGACUGACAUAUUAUAUAGCUCCUUAUAGAUGACAUUUAGUGACUCAAUUGAUAAACUAAAUCACAAAACAAAGCCCAUCUCCUUAAUAAAAUAAUUAUCUAAAUUUCAAAUACUUGAUUCUACCAUUUUUUGGCGUAUUAUGAAUUUGUAUUCAUUGUGGAAGCAUUAGAGGGUUUAUAUCGAAUACUUCAACAUCUACAAGAGUUGCUCCUCGUUUGUUGUCUCUUCCUUCUUUGCUUGGAAAGUUACUAAAAAGAGGAUUCUGACUAUUGAUGAUAUCUGGAUAAGAAAAUUUGGGUCAAUUGGAUGCUUCUAUAAAGCGCAGCUGAAUUGUUCUUCAUUUGCUUCUGCAUUGUAAGUGAACUAGGAAGCUGUGCAAAUAUGUCCUGGUGUUUAUAAUUCGCUGGGUAUGAGGAAA
rnacentral:misc_RNA from 1 species